AAACCGUCAGGAACACACGUGAAUGAGACAGAGCCUACAGCUUCGUGGGGUAACAAAGAAGCAACUCUGCACUGAAAACCCAGUGGAAUAAGAGCUCCUGUGGAGGAAGAAACACAUAGAAAUGCAGAGAUGAAAAAAGGUGAUAACUGUUGAAGAAACAGGAGAGAAUGUGGACUAAGACACCAACACAUUUCCCACAUCUUAGCUUUGAUGUUGCCUUCAAAAAGAAAUCAGGCUGGAUUGUGGAAUGUGAGUUAGAAACUGUGGCUCCUGACUGCCUCCAUGUGGGCCUCUCCUUCCUACGUGGGUGUUUAUGCAUCCCUCCAAUCCUUCUAUGAGCCCUUGACACUUAUAAUAUGAAUCAUGCUGUAUUACGAUUGCCUGCUUAUCUGAUGCUCUCUUCUAAUACAGUUUGAGUUCCU